rnacentral:rRNA from 1 species
UACGGAGGGUGCGAGCGUUAUUCGGAAUUACUGGGCGUAAAGGGCGCGUAGGCUGUUUUGUAAGUCUGAUGUGAAAUCCCGCGGCUUAACCGCGGAAGUGCAUUGGAUACUGUGAGACUAGAGUGUCGGAGAGGAGAACGGAAUUCCUGGUGUAGAGGUGAAAUUCGUAGAUAUCAGGAGGAACAACGGAGGCGAAGGCGGUUUUCUGGACGAUAACUGACGCUGAGGCGCGAAAGUGUGGGGAGCGAAC